AAGUCGUAACAAGGUUUCCGUAGGUGAACCUGCGGAAGGAUCAUUAACACGUAUCCAAACGUUAAACAACCCCGUGAACAUACAACCUGCUCUGGUCGCCCGCUCGCAUGGACAAGCCCAGUAAAUCAAGCCCCGGAAAGUUUUUGAUUUGGGACCUCUGUGCGCGUGAGAAAAACUGACAGCGAUUCAUAGAAGCGGUAGGUCAAGUGACACGGCGUCCCCAAGUGACCAGUGAAUGAAAGUGUCGCUGGAGCGUCAAGGACGACUCUUCAAGAUUGCUAGAGGUCGACCACCGACCGGCAGACAUGCCACAGGGUCACCGCGCCCCUAAUCACUCCCUCUGAACCAUACGCCGGCGCCGUUGAAAAGCUGCGCUAAAAAAAACCGAACAACUGUUAACAAUGGAUAUCUUGGUUCUC
rnacentral:misc_RNA from 1 species